CCUACGGGAGGCAGCAGUGGGGAAUUUUGGACAAUGGGCGCAAGCCUGAUCCAGCCAUGCCGCGUGUGGGAAGAAGGCCUUCGGGUUGUAAACCACUUUUGUCAGGGAAGAAACGGUCUGAACUAAUACUUUGGACUAAUGACGGUACCUGAAGAAUAAGCACCGGCUAACUACGUGCCAGCAGCCGCGGUAAUACGUAGGGUGCAAGCGUUAAUCGGAAUUACUGGGCGUAAAGCGUGCGCAGGCGGCUUUGCAAGACAGAUGUGAAAUCCCCGGGCUCAACCUGGGAACUGCAUUUGUGACUGCAUGGCUAGAGUACGGUAGAGGGGGAUGGAAUUCCGCGUGUAGCAGUGAAAUGCGUAGAUAUGCGGAGGAACACCGAUGGCGAAGGCAAUCCCCUGGACCUGUACUGACGCUCAUGCACGAAAGCGUGGGGAGCAAACAGGAUUAGAUACCCUGGUAGUCCACGCCCUAAACGAUGUCAACUGGUUGUUGGGAGGGUUUCUUCUCAGUAACGAAGCUAACGCGUGAAGUUGACCGCCUGGGGAGUACGGCCGCAAGGUUGAAACUCAAAGAGUAGUGCGNGNGAGAGCGACGAGACGACGAGGAGGGAGG
rnacentral:rRNA from 1 species